rnacentral:rRNA from 1 species
GACGAACGCUGGCGGCGUGCAUAACACAUGCAAGUCAAGGGGGCCGGUAGCAAUACCGGUAACCGGCGAACGGGUGCGUAACACGUAAGCGACCUACCUCGAUGUGGGGCAUAGCCGGCCUAACGGCCGGGUAAUUCCGCAUGUGAUCUCGGAGGGGCAUCCUUCUGAGAUGAAACCAGUAAUGGGCAUUGAGAGGGGCUUGCGGCCUAUCAGCUAGUUGGCGAGGUAACGGCUCACCAAGGCGACGACGGGUAGCUGGUCUGAGAGGAUGGCCAGCCACAUUGGGACUGAGAAACGGCCCAGACUCCUACGGGAGGCAGCAGUGGGGAAUCUUGCGCAAUGGCCUAACGGCUGACGCAGCGACG